rnacentral:rRNA from 1 species
CCUACGGGAGGCAGCAGUGGGGAAUAUUGGACAAUGGGCGCAAGCCUGAUCCAGCAAUGCCGCGUGAGUGAUGAAGGCCUUAGGGUCGUAAAGCUCUUUUACCAGGGAUGAUAAUGACAGUACCUGGAGAAUAAGCUCCGGCUAACUCCGUGCCAGCAGCCGCGGUAAUACGGAGGGAGCUAGCGUUGUUCGGAAUUACUGGGCGUAAAGCGUACGUAGGCGGUUAUUCAAGUCAGAGGUGAAAGCCCGGGGCUCAACCCCGGAACGGCCUUUGAAACUAGGUAGCUAGAAUCUUGGAGAGGUCAGUGGAAUUCCGAGUGUAGAGGUGAAAUUCGUAGAUAUUCGGAAGAACACCAGUGGCGAAGGCGACUGACUGGACAAGUAUUGACGCUGAGGUACGAAAGCGUGGGGAGCAAACAGGAUUAGAUACCCUGGUAGUCCACGCCGUAAACGAUGAUAACUAGCUGUCCGGGCACUUGGUGCCUGGGUGGCGCAGCUAACGCAUUAAGUUAUCCGCCUGGGGAGUACGGUCGCAAGAUUAAAACUUAAAUGAAUUGACGG